rnacentral:rRNA from 1 species
CCUACGGGCGGCAGCAGUGGGGAAUAUUGCACAAUGGGGGAAACCCUGAUGCAGCAACGCCGCGUGAGUGAAGAAGUAUUUCGGUACGUAAAGCUCUAUCAGCAGGGAAGAAGAUGACGGUACCUGAUUAGGAAGCCCCGGCUAACUACGUCCCAGCAGCCGCGGUAAUACGUCGGGGGCAAGCGUUCUCCGGAUGUACUGGGGGUAAAGGGAGCGCAGAUGGCAGUGCAAGUCUGGAGUGAAAGCCCGGGGCCCAACCCCGGAACUGCUCCGGACACUGGGCGGCUAGAGUACGGGAGGGGCAGGCGGAAUUCCUAGUGUAGCGGUGAAAUGCGUAGAUAUUAGGAGGAACACCAGUGGCGAAGGCGGCCAGCUGGACAGUAACUGACGUUGAGGCGCGAAAGCGUGGGGAGCAAACAGGAUUAGAUACCCGAGUAGUC